UCGGCUGUGAUGAUAAAAGGCCAGGCCCAGCUGCCCAGCGCCGGAGGCCUCUCCGCCCAUGGGUCCUGCGGUGAUGGAGACCCAGCAGGCACCCCUUGCACCGCCUGGCCCCAACAGAGUCCAGCCAAGGACCCCAGGGAGGCCCCCACCCCCUGAAUUGCCGCCGGCCGCCCCAAGGGUCCCCUCCCCAGGCAGGGUUGAAGGCACGUGCAGAAGAGCACACACGUCUUGGGUCUGAGUGCUGUGAAAUGUGUGGUCUGCUCACACAUCCACCCACACACCCAAGACUUCACUCGGUCGGUUCUCAGCAAAGGGCCGACAGCUCAGAUGGGGUGGGGGUGGUGCCCACUUGCUCACCUCAAGCUGGCGACCCCCCGCUGGAGCCCCAGCUCCCUGUCUCCCUGACGGCAACCCCCCCCCCCCCCCCAGCCAGUUGCUGCAGGGUCCACGGAGACAAGUGGUGAUGAGUGGCUGGGAGUUAUCAGCAUGUGGUUAAGGUCACAGUGUCAUUAUGGUAAUUAUUCCCGAGUGACUGUGUGUGUUUCACAUGACUUGCCUUUAUACCAACUUGUCUCAGUAUAAAACUCAGAUCACACAGUCAUUCCCCGAGGUCCUUGGAGGCAUCAGAUGAUGCCUGGGGAGCCGGCCACAGUGCCUCUCACCGAGAGACACGUGACCCAGGCCCCAAGUCCUCUUGCAAGAAAGCAGAGUCCGCUAUCCUCUGGUCGCACCGAUGUCAUCUGCAGCCCAGACCGUAAGCCAGAGAACUGUGGAAAUACAGGUGAACGCAGAUUCUUUUACCACGGAGCCACAGAGAAGCCUGAAAUAAUACAUAUUAUAAGUUUAAAGACACGGCCACUUGUCUUUAAAGGAAAUGAAUCUUUAAAAGCUAAAGGAAGUGAGGUCUAGGGUGAAGAGCCUGCGCAGCGUCAUUCACUCAUCGCUCGUCAGCAAGUGUGGUGAGUACCCAGUGCGUGUGGUGUGGAUGUUACCAGGACGGGAGCCGCUUCUGUCCCAGCGGGAGAGACGCGGUGCCCACAGCCACCCCCCCACCCCCCGCCCCCGGAGGGGGACACUGAGCUGCCUCCGACACCCGCUGGGUCCCCGAAGCUGAGCUCUGAGUCCUUAUAACUCAGCAUCCAGUGUCUGGACUCACGCAGGGGAUGAGGCCUCGCAGAGGAAGGGGUCGCACCUUUGCCUGCAGGCACUUACUUCUCACUGGUAUUGAACUCUCAACCCUGAAUUUCUUGUGAGUAAAUCUGGGGGUACUCUGCCUUCCCCUGGGGCUUCCAGGGGAUGAGGUCAUCGAGAAGUUAGAGCUGAUUUAUUAUCACCCUGGCACAGUGACCGCCUUAGGCCCUGGGGAGGAAAGAGAGGACUCGGAUGAAUAAAACAUGGUGCUGAUGCUAAGACAAACAGAAACAAUUACAGGUGGAGAAACUGAAGUCCUUCCUGAGAGUCAAAGUGGUCUGCCGAGUCGCAAGGCAGAGACGGCGAGAACCCGAGCCUCCUGACGCCAAGGCCGCUGCAGUAUCCAGGACAUCCAACUGUGUCAGACAAGGGGCCUUUGGAGCUGGGUUUCCUAGGAUUAACAGGAGUUUGCCAGAGGGUGCGUGGUAUAGGCACAGGACAGCGAGUGCCAAGGCCCGGAGGCAAGAAAUUGGAGGGCUUGUUCAGGAGGCAGCAAGUAGGUGAGUGGGGCUGGUUCCAGGCAGGUUCAGGAAAGUUACAAGAGAAAAAAACAUGUGCUGACAGGAACUGUCCCUCAGGAGGAAGGUGGCACUGGUUAAGGCUAUAUGGCGGCUUUGCAUCUUGUUUUCGUCUCACAGAACCUUGAACUGUAUCAAGGGAGGUGGUUUUCCCCUUUGACAGGGAAGGAAAUGAGGGUGCAGAGGAGCUUGGUGAUCAGCAUGAGGUCUCAAGGCAGGAGGCAGAGAAGUGAGGUCUCCCAUCACUCUGCCAGGCCAACUGAGUCAGCCCGGCCCAGAACUUUCUAGUCCCCACACAGGCCCGGGAAGAGUGGCCCAGCUUGGGGUGGGAAGCAGAGCCAGGGGCUCCUGGGGAAGGCUGUGCCGUCCUCACCGCAGGGCGGGAGUGACCCCAAAAGCUAAAAUAAGGCUGUGUGCUCCAAAAAUACUCUACUCAAAACACUGCAGUGCUGGAAAUAGGCCCAUCUGCUGGCUUCCCGCCCGGGGACCAGGGCAGAGCAGGAGAGCCACACUUCUGUCACCACCCCUUUUUAUUUGAGGCGAUCAGGCCCUUGCCACCUGGAGCUGCCUCCGUCCACGGAACGCUUGCUGGGGGGAGUCCGGGCACAGACGCAGGGGCGGUCGGUCACCCACUGUCAUGGUCUUCCUGUUCCUGGCCCUGCUCCUGACAUCAGGGCGCAGCAGGGGGCCUGGGGGUGGGGGGCAGGUCAGGGCGGGCUCCCGGGACUGUGGGGACACGGGCAGUGGACGCAGACAAGGUCACGAGUCCCGCCCGCAUCGGUGCACCAGGACGUCACUUACUCAGGACUGCCCCGGGCUUAGCCAGACAGACCCCAGCAGCCUCUGAUCUACCAACCUCCGACCUGGCCCCCUUUAACUUCACCGCCUCAGCUCCAAGCCGCCUUUUUCUUCUUAAACCCCAUCGCAAGGCCCUGACCUCAGCUGCUCCUCCCAAAGCGAACAGGCAGGCUGGCAGGAACCUGGGGGGUUACCCGGGGCCCUUCUCAGCAGGCCUGUGACCGCCGUCCCCUACGUCAUCCCCCUCCGGCACCCACCCCCGCUCCCCCCCAGCCUGGCUCAGACCCUCUCAGCCUCUCUUCUGGGACAGACUUCCUCCCCAGCUCCCUGCCCCCGCCAGGGUCUCCCGUGCUGCAGGCCCGUCUCCACACCCCCCAGGGCCUGAGAUCCAACCUGAUCGUGAGCUUACACACCCACUUCGUGUUUCUGUCUUCACAGCGGGUUUCCC
rnacentral:lncRNA from 1 species